UACGUAGGGGGCAAGCGUUGUCCGGAUUUAUUGGGCGUAAAGAGCGUGUAGGCGGUUUGGUAGGUCCGCUGUGAAAACUCGAGGCUCAACCUCGAGACGUCGGCGGAAACUAUCUGGCUAGAGUCCGGAAGAGGAGAGUGGAAUUCCUGGUGUAGCGGUGAAAUGCGCAGAUAUCAGGAAGAACACCCGUGGCGAAGGCGGCUCUCUGGGACGGUACUGACGCUGAGACGCGAAAGCGUGGGGAGCGAACAGG
rnacentral:rRNA from 1 species